GAGCCUGUUUGCAGUAUGGACAGGGCUGUGGCUGGUGGUAACCGUACCUGACUAGUGACUAGUAGCACUCAGCUUGCUGGGCCUCUUGGAGAACCUAUCUACAUGGUAGAUGAAGGUGCCUGUUUGCAGCAUGGACAGGGCUGUGGCUGGUCGUAACUACCCGAGGUGACUAGUAGCACUCUGCUUACUUGGCCUCUUGGAGAACCCGUCUACACAGUAGAUGAGGGCUGCUGCAAAUGAAGCUGUCUGUCUGCAGGACGGCCAGGGCUGUGGCUGAGGACUACUAUGCCUGAGGACUGCCUUUGUAGGACCGCGUGGCUCUGGAUUACUAGUAGCACUUGGCCUAAUGCUCCGUCAUUUCCAGCUACAGAUGGAUGAACCCUGCUACAAGUAAAGGUUCCUGUUUUGAAAGGCUGUGGCUGGAGGCAUGCAAUGCCGGAGGUUUAUCAGUGCUCCCUUUGACUGCUGCGUCCAGUUAAUGGUGGGGGGGUUCCUGGAGCAAGAUGGGAACCACACCAUGCUGCUGGUGAAGACUCUUGGUUUACCAGAGAACUUUAACAUCCAGCGUGUUUUAGCCAUAGACAGCACUUGAAUGCACUGCUCAUUGUAACACUUAGCAUAAUUCAUCUUUAUGGAAUAAAUUGUUACUGUACAUAA